AGGAUGAACGCUAGCGACAGGCUUAACACAUGCAAGUCGAGGGGCAUCGACGGGAGUAGCAAUACAACUGGUGGCGACCGGCGCACGGGUGAGUAACGCGUAUGCAACCUACCUAUCAGAGGGGAAUAACCCGGCGAAAGUCGGACUAAUACCGCAUAAAACAGGGGCACCGCAUGGUGAUAUUUGUUAAAGAAAUUCGCUGAUAGAUGGGCAUGCGUUCCAUUAGGUAGUUGGUGAGGUAACGGCUCACCAAGCCGACGAUGGAUAGGGAACUGAGAGGUUGGUCCCCCACACUGGUACUGAGACACGGACCAGACUCCUACGGGAGGCAGCAGUGAGGAAUAUUGGUCAAUGGGCGGGAGCCUGAACCAGCCAAGUCGCGUGAAGGAAGAAGGAUCUAUGGUUCGUAAACUUCUUUUGCAGGGGAAUAAAGUGCAGGACGUGUCCUGUUUUGUAUGUACCCUGAGAAUAAGGAUCGGCUAACUCCGUGCCAGCCGCCGC
rnacentral:rRNA from 1 species